rnacentral:lncRNA from 1 species
GACAUAGUAGCAAAUGUUGCUUUAGUUGUGGUGACAAGAUUGUGAGGCCUCUCGUCACUAUGUACAUAUUUAGGCAGAGAGAGAUGAAUGGUGAUACCCCAUCUGUGUUCUCUCUUUUUGUUCAGCUUGGAACACCAACCCAACAUGGGAUAGUCCUGCACUCAUUCGACCCAGGCUUUUCUCUCUGGACACACCCUCGCUGGCAGGCCUGUGGGGUCACUUAGCUCCGUGUCCAAAAGACGGCUGCCAUCUGUCUCCAGCCUAGGGAGGAGCCUGUUUCCAGCCGCCUCGUUCUGACCCAGAUCCUGGCGUCAUCAUCCCCUUCCCACAGGCUGCAAGGAUCGCCAUGGUGUGGAGAAGUGCAGCAAAACUCUUCUCUUCCCCACUUCUUUUCUCUCUAAAACCACAUUCCAGCCAAAGCAACCUACCGUUUAAAUGUCCCGUAGGUGAUAUCCAUGAGGCCAAAACUAUUUCCUGCAUCGGCUUAUUGUUUUUCAGAUUUGGAAAUGUCUGUGUGUGCACACGUUGGAAAUGCGUUGGGAAAUCUAAGUUUAUACAUGAAAUUCAUUUGCUUCAUAAACACUCUAUACUCAUAG